UGGGGAAUAUUGCACAAUGGAGGGAACCCUGAUGCAGCGACGCCGCGUGAACGAAGAAGGCUUUCGAGUCGUAAAGUUCUUUUAUAUGGGAAGAAAAUGACGGUACCAUAAGAAAAAGCCCCGGCUAACUACGUGCCAGCAGCCGCGGUAAUACGUAGGGGGCUAGCGUUGUCCGGAAUCACUGGGCGUAAAGGGUUCGCAGGCGGAAAUGCAAGUCAGGUGUAAAAGGCAGUAGCUUAACUACUGUAAGCAUUUGAAACUGCAUAUCUUGAGAAGAGUAGAGGUAAGUGGAAUUUUUGGUGUAGCGGGGAAAUGCGUAGAUAUUAAAAAGAAUACCGGUGGCGAAGGCGACUUACUGGGCUCAUUCUGACGCUGAGGAACGAAAGCGUGGGUAGCAAACAGG
rnacentral:rRNA from 1 species